rnacentral:SRP_RNA from 1 species
UCGCGCUAGAUGGGGAGUUGGCGGUGCCCUAUAACCCGCAAUCCGCCUUAGCGGGGUUGAAUUCCUAUUAGAGGUGCGAUUCAUGUAAGGUCUGCCUUGUAUAAGUGGUGUUGACAAUUGGGUCCUGCGCAACAGAUAGCCGUGAACCUGGUCAGGUCCGGAAGGAAGCAGCCAUAAGUGGUGUCAUCUGUGUGCCGUAGGGCAACCUGAUUUGAGCUAACUACACAAGUAACGCUUGGUUGGUCGUAUCGAUAAUAGGUGCGCGG